AAAGUACUCCCUCCGUCCCAAAAUUCUUGUCUUAGAUUUGUCUAGAUACAGAUGUAUCAAGUCACAUUUUAGUAUUAGGUACAUCCGUAUCUAGAAAAAUAUAAGACAAGAAAUUUGGGACAGAGGGAGUAGUUG
rnacentral:pre_miRNA from 1 species